rnacentral:snRNA from 1 species
GGAUGUGAGAGUGAUGUGGCUGUGCCAUCUGUCACUCUGUUGAUUGCCAGAGUUGAUUUGGCUAAUCUGGCUGGCCAGGCUGAUGUCCCCAUCCUCUGUCACCACUCCAUGUAUGUUCCUCCCCAAGCUGCUCUGUUGGUUGGACCUUCCCCAGUAGAGGAGGGCCAAGGAUAUACAAGUAGCUUCCCUCCACUGUUAGAACCUCCUAACAAACUCUCAAAAUGCAAAAUAAUUAAAUAAAGUCAUUUUACUUAUAAAAAAAAAAGUCAAGGGACCAGAGAUAUGGCUU